AGGGAUGUAGCUCAGUGGUAGAGCACUUGCCUAACAUAUGUGAGGCCCUGGGUUCGAUCCCUAGCACUACCA
rnacentral:tRNA from 1 species